UAGGCACGUGAAUGAGGAAAGGGGAUUGGGGUUUUUAACCAGAUUGGGGAUUUUGGGGAAAUUAGGGUAGAUAGGUGGUUCUCUCCUCCACUUGAACCACCGCUUCUCCUUCUUCUUCUCUAGUAAUCAUGCCCAAAGCAUUUCCAGCACUGCGUAAUGAUGUGGUUUUGCGACGAUAAUGGGCGUUUUAUGGUCUCGCCGGUGGGAGGAGUGCGUCUCUACUCGGACGCGACUUGGCCAUGAUGGUGGAACCUCCAUAAUCCCAACAGCGAGGUGACGAUGGUGACUCCUCGAAGUACCACUUCUUCUUCUUCUCCGAUUACCACGCCGGCAUGAUUUCCGACAUCACUGUCGGAUUUCGGAGUGGUUAGGGGUGAUGAACAUGUUGACAACUUUUUGUUCUUCUUCAUCUUCUCUGGUUG
rnacentral:lncRNA from 1 species